UUAAUCGAUGGGGGGACGCAGUAGGAUAGGCGAAGCGUGCUGUUGGAGUGCACGUCCAAGCAGUAAGGCUGAGUGUUAGGCAAAUCCGGCACUCAUAAGGCUGAGCUGUGAUGGGGAGAGGAAAUUGUUUCCUCGAGUCGUUGAUUUCACACUGCCGAGAAAAGCCUCUAGAUAGAUAACAGGUGCCCGUACCGCAAACCGACACAGGUAGUCAAGAUGAGAAUUCUAAGGUGAGCGAGCGAACUCUCGUUAAGGAACUCGGCAAAAUGACCCCGUAACUUCGGGAGAAGGGGUGCUCUUUAGGGUUCACGCCCAGAAGAGCCGCAGUGAAUAGGCCCAAGCGACUGUUUAUCAAAAACACAGGUCUCUGCUAAACCGUAAGGUGAUGUAUAGGGGCUGACGCCUGCCCGGUGCUGGAAGGUUAAGAGGAGUGGUUAGCUUCUGCGAAGCUACGAA
rnacentral:rRNA from 1 species